UACGAAGGGGGCUAGCGUUGCUCGGAAUUACUGGGCGUAAAGCGCACGUAGGCGGGUAUUUAAGUCAGGGGGGAAAUCCCAGAGCUCAACUCUGGAACUGCCUUUGAUACUGGGUACCUAGAGUAUGGAAGAGGUGAGUGGAAUUCCGAGUGUAGAGGUGAAAUUCGUAGAUAUUCGCAAGAACACCAGUGGCGAAGGCGGCUCACUGGCCCGGUACUGACGCUGAGGUGCGAAAGCGUGGGGAGCAAACAGG
rnacentral:rRNA from 1 species